rnacentral:lncRNA from 1 species
CGCCUCUGAAAUCUCUUCUCUCUCAAAACGCUCUCAAACACUCAAACCCUAAUCGCCUCACUCGUCUUCUCUGACCAUUGUCUCGCAGGAGUCUAUGGCUUUUCAGGCCAUGGAUGACUUGUGCUCACCUUCCUUCACUCCUAAGCUAUGGGUGUUCGAGAUUUCAAGGUUUGACCUUAGUGGUGUCCGUUCAUAUCCUCUGUAGAUUUGUGUUCUUGUGGCCUCUCCGUCCCCGAUCCGACGUAUUCGAGCUUUAGAAGCCUAGCCAUGGCCUUCUCUGACUCAACACCAGACCUCUUCCAAGCCUUCUAAUUUCUAGAGUUUCGGAAAAGACCUAAAGCUAUUCGAGGUUCCAUCUUAUUUUACUUACUUAGAUCUGUGGUGAAUCUGUGCUAUACUCAAUGUUUCAAAGCUUUUCCCCAAAUUUCUUUUCAGAAUUAGUCUAUUUCAAUUUAGGGUUUUCAGAAAAUCUUAAGAUGACUUCUGACUUUUGUUCUUCUUCUUUUCUUUGUGUGAAUCUAUCUGUGCCAUGUUCUUAUGAUCUUUCCUCGCAUGUCAG